rnacentral:rRNA from 1 species
CGGAUCGGAGUCUGCAACCCGACUCCGUGAAGCUGGAUUCGCUAGUAAUCGCGCAUCAGCCAUGGCGCGGUGAAUACGUUCCCGGGCCUCGUACACACCGCCCGUCAAGCCAUGGGAGCCGGGGGGUGCUUGAAGUGCGUCGCCGCGAGGCGCGCCCUAGAGCAAAACCGGUGACUGGGGCUAAGUCGUAACAAGGUACC